UUUUUACAAGCCAUUUUGUAACUCUCUAGUUACAAAGAUAUUAACUUAUGACUAAGCCAAGUCAAAACAUAAAUUGAAGUGUUUACUGAUUUUGGGUUUCCUAGAAACAGCUUCUAAGAAAGUAAGAUAGGAGUUACUAUGAGGAAAAAAUAACAAAGACUCAACAAACCUAAAGACAUAAGAUAUCUUCGAUCUUGGAUCAGGUCCUUGAGGUUGCAUCAGCUUUGUUCUUCAGAGAGGUUGUUGCUAGCACUUGGCAAAAUAUUUCUUUUUCUGAUUUUGCAAGUGUUGAACCCGAGUCUUGUGACUUGCAUAAGGUUUAUUCAACAAAAGACAUUAUCUUAGUGAUGUAAACUCUUGGUUAAUACAUGCCUCUUAUCAAUGAGAAGUGACUGUUGCACUGCCUGCUGCACUAUUGUAGGCAAUUGAUUUCUGCAGUUGCUUUCCAGCUGUACAAUUGACCUAUAAGUCUAUUAGGGGAACACCAAGGUCUCAGGUCCCUAAUAUGGUUUUUGUGAAUCUACAGCACACUGCCCAUAUGUUGAUUAACUGGAAUGAUCGUACCAGGCAUGCUUUAGGUCCUUUAUCUGGUUCUCUCAUGAAGUAAUUUGUUUUACCUUCCUUGAUGGUAUUUAUACAUGCAUGACAUCAGUUACAACGAUGUAAUUAAGGUAGGUAAAUAGCCUUCCGUAGAAAGUUGACUGUUGCACUGUUCCUGUGCAAUAGCUUGUGUAGGUUGUAACUUUUCUAAUGAAGAGUUGACUUCAACAGUCUCCUCGGGAACUGGCAAGGAUCUCUUUCAUCAGUUGUUCUUUCCUUUCUGAAGAGUUGAUUUAUAUCCCACGUUGUAUCCAAACAUGGAAAUUUGUGAUAUCAAGUACUUGUAGAUGUGUAACAGGUUCUGUAUCUAGUUCGGGGUGGUAAGUGUGUUAGAUCGUCAAAACAUAAAGUAAAGUACUUAUGCCCAAGGUAUUUGUAACCUAUCAAUUUCCCCGUUUUUGAUGACGACAAACUUAGAGUUGAUAUUCCCCCUAAGAAAUUGAUCUCCACAUUGUUCCCCUAUGAAUUAGCCAUAUUCCCCAUGAGAACCGAAGCUAAGGAGCUGAUCACAGUUGGUUCCUCAAGACUGUUUGGAAAAUCAUCAAAACUCAAAGUGCCAUAACUUAUCAAUUUCCCCCUUUUAUAGGAAUGGCAAACCUAGAAUUAUUCUCCCUGAGAAUCAGGUUCCUUAUCUGAUGUGAUCACAUCUGGUCCGUACACAGUACAUUGAGAAUGUUUGUCUUCAUCACCACAUGACAUAGUGUAACUUUGAGCAAUUUCCCCCUUUUUGAUGAUGAUAAACGAAAAAUUAAUAUUCCUCUUGAGAACGAUAUUUCUCACAUGUUUUCCUGAGGAUCAGACCUAGAAUUAACAUAUUAUCAGCACGCUCCCCAUGCAAAGUAGAGCUAUCUCUUAAGAACCAGAGAACCAGAUUCCUCAUAUAUUUCCAUGCGAAGAAGAUCCGUCUUUCAAGCACAAAAUUCUAUUUUAUUCCUACUAUGUCCACACAUAUAUAACUUCCCCCUUUUGGCAUCAUCGAAAAGAAUAACAGAAGAAGCAUUACCAAAAUGAAGUUCAGCAACAUUAACUCAGGCCACCUGGUCAACAUAGCUAAACAAUAACAAGAACAACAAGUGAAUGUCAGUGCACAACAUAGAGUGGUUUCCCAUAGUGAUGUAAUGAGAACAAAAGCAUAGUAGCUUCAAUUAUAGAUAAUAUCACAAUUUAAAUAACUGAAGUACCAAUGUCAUCAAAUAUAGGCGUCAAAAGAAGAUAAGAAUUCAAGCGAAUAUCGAAGGAGUGAAAGAUAUGGAUCACUUGGUAGGAGGAAAAGAAAAGGGGGUUAAGGCCUUGAUGAGCUUGUCAAUUCAUUUAUUUAUUCUCCCUUGAUCAAUGUGUUAGAAAAUACGCUUAACGCUAGGGGGGGGGGGGG
rnacentral:lncRNA from 1 species